UGCAGUCGAGCGGUAGCACAGAGAGCUUGCUCUCGGGUGACGAGCGGCGGACGGGUGAGUAAUGUCUGGGAAACUGCCUGAUGGAGGGGGAUAACUACUGGAAACGGUAGCUAAUACCGCAUAACGUCGCAAGACCAAAGUGGGGGACCUUCGGGCCUCAUGCCAUCAGAUGUGCCCAGAUGGGAUUAGCUAGUAGGUGGGGUAACGGCUCACCUAGGCGACGAUCCCUAGCUGGUCUGAGAGGAUGACCAGCCACACUGGAACUGAGACACGGUCCAGACUCCUACGGGAGGCAGCAGUGGGGAAUAUUGCACAAUGGGCGCAAGCCUGAUGCAGCCAUGCCGCGUGUAUGAAGAAGGCCUUCGGGUUGUAAAGUACUUUCAGCGGGGAGGAAGGCGAUAAGGUUAAUAACCUUGUCGAUUGACGUUACCCGCAGAAGAAGCACCGGCUAACUCCGUGCCAGCAGCCGCGGUAAUACGGAGGGUGCAAGCGUUAAUCGGAAUUACUGGGCGUAAAGCGCACGCAGGCGGUCUGUCAAGUCGGAUGUGAAAUCCCCGGGCUCAACCUGGGAACUGCAUUCGAAACUGGCAGGCUAGAGUCUUGUAGAGGGGGGUAGAAUUCCAGGUGUAGCGGUGAAAUGCGUAGAGAUCUGGAGGAAUACCGGUGGCGAAGGCGGCCCCCUGGACAAAGACUGACGCUCAGGUGCGAAAGCGUGGGGAGCAAACAGGAUUAGAUACCCUGGUAGUCCACGCCGUAAACGAUGUCGAUUUGGAGGUUGUGCCCUUGAGGCGUGGCUUCCGGAGCUAACGCGUUAAAUCGACCGCCUGGGGAGUACGGCCGCAAGGUUAAAACUCAAAUGAAUUGACGGGGGCCCGCACAAGCGGUGGAGCAUGUGGUUUAAUUCGAUGCAACGCGAAGAACCUUACCUGGUCUUGACAUCCACAGAACUUAGCAGAGAUGCUUUGGUGCCUUCGGGAACUGUGAGACAGGUGCUGCAUGGCUGUCGUCAGCUCGUGUUGUGAAAUGUUGGGUUAAGUCCCGCAACGAGCGCAACCCUUAUCCUUUGUUGCCAGC
rnacentral:rRNA from 1 species